rnacentral:rRNA from 1 species
GACGAACGCUGGCGGCGUGCUUAACACAUGCAAGUCGAGCGAACAGACGCGGAGUUUGUUGCUUUCACGAUUGCCGCGCACGGGAGAGUAACAUGUGUAUCAUCCACUUAACUGACUGGUAUAACUUCGGGACACCGGAGCUUACACCGGAUAAGCUAUUGAACCGUAUGGUUCAUUAGUGAAUUUCGGUUUUGCUGUCACUCAUAGACGGAUCCGCGCUGCAUUAGGUAGUUGGUAAGGUCACGGCUUACCAAGGCUACGAUGCGUAGCCGACUUGAGAGAGUGGUCGACCGCACUGGAGCUGAGACACGGUCCAGGCUCCUGCGGGAGGCACCAGAAGGGAAUCGGCCGCAGUGGGCGGGAGCCUGGCAGAACGGCGCCACGUGAGUGGUAGAGAUCUUCGGAUCGUAAAGCUCUGUUAUGGGUGAGAAACAAAUGUGUAAGUAGCUGAGCACGUCUUGACGGUACCUAGUCAAGAAGCCACGGCUAACUACGUG